rnacentral:rRNA from 1 species
UUCCGGUUGAUCCUGCCGGAGGGAACCCCUAUCGGGUUCAGACUAAGCCAUGCGAGUCGGCUGGGGGCACUUGCCCCUGGCGGCGCACGGCUCAGUAAUACGCGGUCAACCUACCCUGGGGACCGGGAUAACCUCGGGAAACUGAGGCUAAUCCCGGAUGGGUGUAGGGUGCUGAAAUGCCCCUACGCCGAAAGUAGGCGGGAAAUGGACCGCUGAGGCCCCAGGAUGGGACCGCGGCCUAUCAGGUAGUAGGUGGGGUAACGGCCCACCUAGCCUACGACGGGUACGGGCCCUGAGAGGGGGAGCCCGGAGAUGGGCACUGAGACAAGGGUCUAGGCCCUAAGGGGCGCAGCAGGCGCGAAGAUUCCGCAAUGCCCGAAAGGGCGACGGAGUGAACCCGAGUGCCACCCGCUGAGGGUGGCUGUUCCCCUGUGUAAAAAGCAGGGGGUAGGAAGGGGAGGGCAAGGCUGGUGGCAGCCGCCGCGGUAAAACCAGCUCCCCGAGGGGUUCCCACGCAUACUGGGCCUAAAGCGUCCGUAGCCGGCCCUGUAAGUCCGCAGUUAAAUCCGCCUGUAGACAGGCGGGCUGCCGCGGAUACUGCAGGGCUAGGGAGCGGGAGGAGCCGGGGGUAUUCCCGGGGGAGCGGUAAAAUGCGUAGAUCCCGGGAGGACCACCAGUGGCGAAGGCGCCCGGCUUGAACGCGUCCGACGGUGAGGGACGAAAGCUGGGGGAGCAAACCGGAUUAGAUACCCGGGUAGUCCCA